rnacentral:rRNA from 1 species
AUAAGACCCUUCUUCGGAACACGAAAACAGGUGCUGCAUGGUUGUCGUCAGCUCGUGUCGUGAGAUGUUAGGUUAAGUCCUGCAACGAGCGCAACCCUCAUAUACAGUUGCCAAUAUUCAGUUAGGAACUCUGUAUAGACUGCCGUGGUUAACACGGAGGAAGGUGGGGAUGACGUCAAAUCAUCACGGCCCUUACGGCCUGGGCUACACACGUGCUACAAUGGCUAUUACAAAGAGUUGCAAUACAGUAAUGUGGAGCGAAUCUCAAAAAGAUAGUCUCAGUUCGGAUUGUGGGCUGCAACCCGCCCACAUGAAGUCGGAGUUGCUAGUAAUCCCGAAUCAGCAUGUCGGGGUGAAUGCGUUCCCGGGUCUUGUACACACCGCCCGUCACGCCAUGGGAGUUGGGAGUGCCCAAAGUCGGUGACCUAACCGCAAGGAAGGAGCCGCCUAAGGUAAUACCAAUGACUGGGGUGAAGUCGUAACAAGGUAGCCGUAUCGGAAGGUGCGGC